GACGAACCGUCCUAACGUUGUUCGGAAUCACUGGGCUUAAAGGGCGCGUAGGCGGGCAGCCAAGUCCGGGGUGAAAUCUUUCGGCUCAACCGGAAAAUAGCCUUGGAUACUGGCUGUCUCGAGCGAGGUAGGGGCGGGUGGAACUUCCGGUGGAGCGGUGAAAUGCGUUGAUAUCGGAAGGAACGCCGGUGGCGAAAGCGACCCGCUGGACCUCUUCUGACGCUGAGGCGCGAAAGCCAGGGGAGCAAACGGG
rnacentral:rRNA from 1 species